AAUAUUGGACAAUGGGUGGAAGCCUGAUCCAGCCAUGCCGCGUGCAGGAAGAAGGCCUUCUGGGUUGUAAACUGCUUUUGCCAGGGGAUAAAAAAUCUGUGCGCAGAUAAUUGAAGGUACCUGGUGAAUCAGACCCGGCUAACUACGUGCCAGCAGCCGCGGUAAUACGUAGGGGUCGAGUGUUGUCCGGACUUACUGGGCGUAAAGCGUGGGUAGGUGGCUGGUGAUGUGCCGUGUGAAAGCGCCGCGCUUCUCGCGGCGAGGUCGCGGUAGACACACUAGCUAGAGGCACGGAGAGGGGCGUAGAAUUCCCGGUGUAGUGGUGAAAUGCGUAGAUAUCGGGAGGAAUACCAGUGGCGCAAGCGGCGCCCUGGCCGUGACCUGACACUGAGCCACGACGGCGUGGGGAGCAAAC
rnacentral:rRNA from 1 species